UAGGGAAUCUUCCGCAAUGGGCGAAAGCCUGACGGAGCAACGCCGCGUGAGUGAUGAAGGGUUUCGGCUCGUAAAACUCUGUUAUUAGGGAAGAACAAAUGUGUAAGUAACUGUGCACAUCUUGACGGUACCUAAUCAGAAAGCCACGGCUAACUACGUGCCAGCAGCCGCGGUAAUACGUAGGUGGCAAGCGUUAUCCGGAAUUAUUGGGCGUAAAGCGCGCGUAGGCGGUUUCUUAAGUCUGAUGUGAAAGCCCACGGCUCAACCGUGGAGGGUCAUUGGAAACUGGGAAACUUGAGUGCAGAAGAGGAAAGUGGAAUUCCAUGUGAAGCGGUGAAAUGCGCAGAGAUAUGGAGGAACACCAGUGGCGAAGGCGACUUUCUGGUCUGUAACUGACGCUGAUGUGCGAAAGCGUGGGGAUCAAACAGG
rnacentral:rRNA from 1 species